ACACGCAGCCCGCGGCCGCCGCUCCCGCCGCCGCCCGCCCGGCCGAGCCGCGGGGCCCGAGCGCCGGCGCCGGCGGGGCUGGGGCGCGCGGAAGCCACUCUACACAGGCAGCGCCGGGCACAAGUUAGUUCCUCGGCUCCGGGGCCUCGGCGCCGCGGGGACGAAACGCCGAGGGCGCCGAGGAGGAGGGGAGGGGGGCGCCGAGGGGCACAAGAGUGGGGAAAAGUGCGGAAAGAAGCAACAGCCGCUCCCCCGGAGCCCAGAAAAGUGGACGCCGCGUCCCGGCCGCCCGCCUGCGCCGGGGAUGCGGCGGCGGCGGCGGCUAACGGUCCAGCGAGGCGGCAGGGGCGGCGGGAGCCGCUAGGCGGAGAGACCAGUUUUGUCAGUUGGAGCCCCUCGCCUCUGUGCCUGGAAGGAGUUGCAGGUGUGUGUGAGGAGAGAGUGGUCACCCACAGGGCUCCGGCGCAGCUCGGGGGUCCCUCAGUCUGUCCCCCAGCGGACACCCCGCUUCCCCGUCACCUUCCCCGUCACCUCUUUCUUACCUACGCGAGUUACAUUUGACAUCGCUUCUUCCAUCUUCGUUCACUGAGAAUUCCACACACGUGGUGAUACCGGCGUCCCUACAUCUACGUCACUACGCCUGUGUUACAGGCAUCACGGCGGAAUGAGGAUGCAGGGACCGCCACCUGGCUUCCUCUGAACCACUGCCACGUGCGUCGUCCCCAUGUCGCUCCAGACUCUGGGGACGCCGAGCUCCGGGACCCGUCAGCCUCCAAGGUGGGACUCGAUUCAGCCACGGGGCAACAGCUAAGUCAUUUUGCUGAAUACCUGAAACUAACGGCACAUUGUAAAUCAACGCUAUUUCAAUAAAAGCAAGUUAAAGUAAGUGAUGGGGACAGAGUUAGGAGGUGAGAAAAAUUGUCUGAUGCCAAAAAGCACCUGAGCUGAACUGGAAAGAAGGUGUUUCUGAGGAACUUGGUCAGAAAACGUGGCAGGCAGUCUUCGGGCUUGGGUUGUGUGUCUGCAGCUGUGACACGUGGUCAUGACCGCCUGCACCGUUAUUUGGAGACUCAGGCGAGACUAAAAAUGUCUAAUAAGGUGUGCUUCAUGUUGAUAAGACUCUGGAAGCAAGAAGAGAGUUCUAUUGUUUAGUCUGGCAGAAAUUACGAAAGCAGCCACAGCCGAAAACCACGCGCCUGAUGCUUUGAGCUACGCACACGGAACGCUCUUAAGUCCAUAGCGUUUGGUAACGGGGCGAUUACUUGCGGUAUGUGAAUGGAAUGAUUUCCUCUUGGCCAGAGAAUACACGAGGAAGGGAGAUUACCCGCCUUAUGGAGUAUUUGCUGUGUCCCCCUCUGUGGAUGGGCCCACCGCUAUCCCUUCACUUCCUCCAUCGAAUACAAACCCUGUCACACACCUUGCCAACCACUCCUCACCUGUGGCAUCGUUCCUCGGAGGCGCGCAGAGGAUGGCCCAGGCGGAGGUGGGACCACAGGAGAGGCAGGAACCCCCAACCCACUCUCUCCGCAUCCCAGUUCCGGGAUCCAGGCCAGGCAGCACAGGGGCUCUGCCUGUGGCCCUCUCCCCUCUCAGAGGGAGGACAGGUGCGGAGUUGAGAAACCGAGGGCUACGGGCGCUCCCCUUAGCUUCUGCCCUGGCGCAGGGCAGGCACCGGGGUGCCCUCUUCCACUUGGGGUACCUGCCAGGGAUUCCCAGUCCCCCCCAGGACUGCAGACUUCUCCUUCUUCAAGCCUCGCACGGUCUCUGCUUUCCCCCAACAGAAGACCUCGGCACCGUGACCUCAGGGCCACGCAGAAGAUGCCUGCCCUUCCAGAUCCUUCAGUGGGGGGCACAGGCUUUCAUUCCUGCAGCAGAGCUUCCCCGCCUCUGUGCCAGUUGUCAGUGUAUCGACAGACGGGUGCCCUCAGGUGUCGGGCACCUCGGCAGGGCCUGGAGCCUCCCUCCUCUUCACUCUCCACAGUCCCUGAGAUGUACAGGUAUUACCAUUCCCUGUGACAGCCGUGACGUGCAGACAGUCUGAAUGCAGCAGAGCGUCCUAGCGAGGAGAUUCUGGUGAGGAUGGGCCCAGUUCCGCCAGAGGCAUCUCCGCCCCUCAGCUUUUUAGCCAGAGCAUCACUACACGCCGGAGGGGCGGCCGGGUGCAGGGCUGGGGGCUCUGCCCCAUGCCCGGGUCGCCGGGCGGACCUGAGCCCUGUGGUCCCCACUGAGCUUUUGAAGUGGAAGGUCCCCCAUUCUUCUAACCACUCCAGAAUAUCCUCCCUGUGGCCGCUUCUCUUCUUCUCCAGUUUCACCCAAGGGUAGAGUUGCCCUCAGCCCAUCAUGCCCUCGCCCUUCUCUGGCCCUGUGCUGGGAACUCAGAAGCAGGUGUGGGAGCCCGUGGCUGUGCCCUUAGCCCUGGUCGCAGGGGACACGGCCUCUCGUUAGCACGCCGCAGGAAGACUCCAGAACUGACACCCACACUCGGCUUUGGGGGGUUUACAAAACACAUCCUGCCCCCCAAAAUUGCAGGGAUAUUUUAAAAUUCAAAUGGGUUAUAUUUUCUAUGCAAGAGCUACGUCGCUUUCCCCAAAGGUGUUUUCAGGCAUUUGAAAAACGUUAGCUGGUGAGUCAGAAGUCUCCUUUUACUCUUUCUGUUUUCUCUGGCUCUGAAAAUAUAUACGUAUGUAUACACAAGCACACGUCACGCUUGGAGGCGUAUCUUCUAGGCUGUAAGAGUGUGGCGGUUGGAAUCCUGGUGCCCGGAAGAGAUGGGUCUGUGCUCUGCAUCCCAGCACAGCGUUUAGCGCAUUGUGACGUACGGAGCGUCUGUUCCGUACGUGCACCCUCGUCUUCCCCUGUGCUCGCUGACCUGACCCGCGAGGCCGCUGGGCUGACUUCCCGCGCUCGCGUCACGUGCUUGGAGAGUUCCCAAGGCCGGCAAGUCAAAUGUUGCGGCCAGGUCAUCGCCUAUUUCCAGCAAAAUGAGUUCAUAUCCAUUUAGGCCCGUUUUACUGCUCUUUGUUAUAACUAUUGCCAAGGAGAAACGAGCAGGUUUGGGUACCACAAGGCAAAAUAAUAUUUGAAAUUUUAACAUAUGCUUGUUUCUUAAUAUUGUAAGCACCCUAUUGUGACUUGGGGACUUUUUGUGUUAGUCUUCGAUCCUUCUCCCACAGAGUCCGGGAGGACUGGGUGCCCUGGCCUUGGCCGCCGGAUGCGCGGUCUCACUCCCUGUGCACAGAGGCGGUAUCCUUUGCACCCGGCGGGGCUGAGUGGAGGCUCCAAGCUCGUGUGGCCUGAGACAUUCCAUCGCAGAGGCUCUCCUAGCAACAUGGCAACGCCAGCAAACCCAACAAUGACCUUUUGUCGUUAGCUCUAUAAAGCCUGUGGCAUGAGUCUCACCAGAAAAUUCAAAGGAUAUUUUGCAAGCGAAGAGCGAUUUCCAGCUGAAGCUUUGAAUCGGUUGCUUUUCCUCCAAUCUGCAAAUAUCAAACUGGACCGGCACCAGAUGGUCGCUUCAAGAGCAGGACGGACCCAAAGAGGAUACCAUGUCACCAAAAGAGUCAGCAGCCAGUGCCACGUAAUAAUUUUGUGAAGAUUUGUUUAGUUAAAACUAGAUGAUAUUAUUUGGCAUUCCAGUUCAUCAAGAAGAGCUCACUGCAAGUGUUACAAGAUGCUGAAAGCAGGGGUGGCUUUGUCCCUUUCUUUCCUGCUGUGGAAUCAGGACUCUGUUUUCCACUGGACCGGAAAUAAGGAAAGAAAUGAAAGCGGAUCCACAAGCCAGGUCUGGUUUUAAUCAGAGCCUAAUCUUUAUGAGACAACGCAAGGCUGAGAAUUUUUUAAUCUGAUAUUUUGAAAGAAAAAUCCAUGUUCCAAAAUGAUACAAACCAAUCGGCCUUAGAAGAACGAUGGAGAAAAGAAAUCUCUUGCAUAAAAGAGAAGCAGGAAAUUCCAGAGAAGUUUCACAGGGAGGAGGGGAAAACCCAAGGUGUAAAGGUAAUUCAGAAGAAAGUACAAAGUUUUCAACUAACGCAGAUGAAACAGUUGGAUAUUCUUAUGCAAAAAAUAAUUCCAGUCCAAUCCUGGCACUUAUACGAAAAGUGAAUGGAUGAACAAAUUGUGGCACAUCCUCACAAUGGAACAGUACUUAGCAAUGAAAAAGGAACGAACUGUGGACACAUGGAAGGACGUGGAUAAAGCUCAAAGUAAUCAUGCUGGCGAGGAAGCCAGAGAAAAAUCAGCACAGACUGUGUGAUUCCAUUCAUACCAUAAACUGACCUCUGGGGACAGAAGGCAGGCUGAGUUUCUGCAUGAUUGAAACACCAUCUUCAGUUUCAAAGGAGCUCAGAUGCACUGGAGCAUCUCCAGAUACUCGGAUGGUGCAGGAGACUCAGACCCACGGCAGGAACUGGUGAAGGAUCUGCAGUUAAGACGUUCAUUUGCCCAUCGCACGGAUGCUGACAGAAGACACAACUCCUAGACCAGAGACAAAAGACGGCAGCCAGAGUGAGCGUCAGCACGUUUGUGUUGGUUCCCCGAGUCUUCAUUCCCAUGCUGGGGCCCGGAUACGUGCCUGAACACAAAGUCGGUUGCAUCACAGGAGAGGGACAGUGAACUUGAAAUCCCAUCACGUCAUAGCAAGCAGUAAGCAAGCCUGCUCUUUGCCCCAGAGGACCUUCUGUGUGCACAGGAAAAUACUGGCAGACGGGUUUUCUUGCAGAACGACUGUUCAAUUUCUAUAAAGAUAGAUUCAUCUGUUGUGAACAAGGCUGAAGAUUAUUUUCAUGCAUAAGAUAAAUCACUGGAAGAGACAGUAAAGCAUUCAAAAUGUACUUUAUGUCCUAGCAGAGAAAAAUCCAAAUCACUCUUCUCCACAGUGCAUUCAUGGUUUCCUGCAAGAUAAGAUCUCAUCCUGUUAAGGACUUCAUCUUGGAAGAAGAGAGAGCAUCAUCUCUCAAGGGAGCUCCAGUAUCAUAAUUCAUAAAAUCAAAUAUAUCAAUAAACACAGCUCUAAUUUUAAAAUAGCCAUCCAAGUCUCUGGAACCUAGUGCCUAAACACUCGAUGUUAAACUGUAGUAUUUUAUAAUAACAUAAAUCUGUAAAAGAGAACAAAUAAUUGUUUAAUUAUUUAAAAGUUUUCAUUCUCAUGAAUAAAAUUUAAAUGCUCAG